rnacentral:rRNA from 1 species
CAGCAGCCACGGGAAUACGAAGGGGGCUAGCGUUGUUCGGAUUUACUGGCGUAAAGCGCACGUAGGCGGACUUUUAAGUCAGGGGUGAAAUCCCGGGGCUCAACCCCGGAACUGCCUUUGAUACUGGAAGUCUUGAGUAUGGUAGAGGUGAGUGGAAUUCCGAGUGUAGAGGUGGAAUUCGUAGAUAUUCGGAGGAACACCAGUGGCGAAGGCGGCUCACUGGACCAUUACUGACGCUGAGGUGCGAAAGCGUGGGGAGCAAACAGGAUUAGAUACCCGGGUAGUCCCUGUCUCUUAUACA